GAAACCCUCAUUUACUCGUCAAAAUAUAAUCUAGGAAAAGAAGUAGAUCAGGGAUCUGGAACCGACUACUAGAAAUUAAAUAUGCCUUGGGAUGAAAAAUCCCCCAAUUGGGCAUAAACUCUUAGUGUUAUGAUAAAGGAUAGAGUUUAUGCUUUUCUCAAAAUUCUGAUCCAGAAAUAAGCAAACAAUUAUUGCUGAUAGAACGCAGGUUCCU